UUUGCCCCUAAUAUCUCAGGUGCUCUGAAAAGAGCUUAAAAGGGAACCCGGUGUAAAUCCGGGACGGGCCCGCCGCUGUAACCGGGGACGAGUUUCGCAAUAAAGCCACUGUUUCUUUACGGGAAGGCGCGAAGCAAGGACGAACCGGGAGUCAGAAGACCUGCCAGGGAUAGUAUAUGUAU
rnacentral:ncRNA from 2 species